UACAGAGGGUGCUAGCGUUGUUCGGAAUCAUUGGGCGUAAAGGGCGUGUAGGCGGUUUGUUAAGUCAUGUGUGAAAUCCCUCGGCUCAACCGGGGAACUGCGUCUGAUACUGGGUGGCUUGAAUCCGGGAGAGGGAUGCGGAAUUCCAGGUGUAGCGGUGAAAUGCGUAGAUAUCUGGAGGAACACCGGUGGCGAAGGCGGCAUCCUGGACCGGUAUUGACGCUGAGGCGCGAAAGCCAGGGGAGCAAACGGG
rnacentral:rRNA from 1 species